GCUCUCUCAUCAGUAAGGUGAACCUUCAAUAUGCUUGGAAAAGUUUGAAUCUACUCUACCUUCAUCCUGUAUUAAUGGGAAACAGCCCCUGAUGAAGCGCUUCGUGAAACAGCUACUUAUCCUGGGGUGGCUGUAGUGCGCUCUCCCUCGUUUGAUUUGUCAUCCACCAACAGUCAUUACAGAGCAUGUUGCUUUCUUUUUUCUGAAUCAACGACUUACGACUCGAACUGCAUGUACUCAUUACAAUUCCUUAUCCUGAAGACAUCUUGGAUUUUGCCUGGACACCUACAUAUUACUUAUUAAUUCUCCAGUUUUUGUAUUUGUUCUGUAUAUUUAUUGGUUUUGUAUGUUGUGUUUUAACUUUGAAUUUGGUCAUUUAUUUUUGUGUUAUAAGAUGUUUUCAUUGUGGGCUGGCAAUACAUGUGGUUUGACCACAAUUAGAUAA